rnacentral:rRNA from 1 species
CGUUUUUGUUUUCGUGGAUUAGUGGCGAACGGGUGAGUAACACGUGAGUAACCUGCCCCCUUCUUUGGGAUAACUGUCGGAAACGGUGGCUAAUACUGGAUAUUCAGGUCGCACCGCAUGGUGUGGUUUGGAAAGGUUUUUUCUGGUGGGGGAUGGGCUCGCGGCCUAUCAGCUUGUUGGUGGGGUGAUGGCCUACCAAGGCUUUGACGGGUAACCGGCCUGAGAGGGUGACCGGUCACACUGGGACUGAGAUACGGCCCAGACUCCUACGGGAGGCAGCAGUA